GUUCGGGUCCCCAUUGACUUCAAUGGGGUUCGGGUUUGGGGUCAAAUUCGGGGUCAAGUUCGAUCCCGAACUCGGACUUUUUUUCAAAGUUUGGCCGAACCCGCCGGACCCGAACAUGCAGGUGUCCGUUCAGCUCUAUAUAAGACCAUUCAAAUGGCAAUAGAAUAUGGUAUCAAAGAAUUUGUCAUCAUAACUGAUUCCAACUAUGUUCGCAACAGUUUCGUCAAAUAUCUGCCUAACUGCCAACAUAACCAAAUGCUGAAAAGCAAUAACAAACCUGUUAAACAUGGAAAAUUUGUCCGCAAUAAUAUGGUCCAACCCAUCAUGCACCAGAAGUGGGGGGUGUCAUUAUCCUGG